CAAAGAUAAAAUGGCGUCUUCUCUAUAUUAACAGCGGCCGUGCAGUGACUUACAAAAGUUCCGAACGGUUCCAUCCUGGGCGGACGGUUAAUUGCGUUCGGUACUUCGAGACAGGAAGCAGUUUUCGCCGGAGUUGACCUGACGUGCUACUUCAGUUUCCAUCUUCGCUUCUCGAAACUUCCAACGUCCUUGGUGUUGGAGUCUCCUUGUCCAGGUGAGUACAUAGCUUCUAGAUACUCGUCGCUGUUCAUCCUUACGAGCCUCUCGAGCUUUAGUUGUCAAUUGUUAUCGUUAAAGGAAGAGAAGCUCGCGACAGAUGUUAUCGAACAAAUCGUUUCUUCUCGAAAAGUUCGAACUUGUUCGUUGCGUUUGAAUAUAUAUGGACGGACGCCAUUUUUCAUGACAUCUUCAUGAUUUGUCAUGUCGUGAGUAUAGCUUCUGACUACCACAUGUUUGUGAUUUAACCACUUGUGAAAUUUGACCACUAUACCGUGAUAGAAAAAUAUUUCCAAUGAAUUAUAAAUAUUUUACAUUGUGAAUUAUAAAUAUUUGUU